CGUGCACCGGUGGGGUCCCUCGGCCUGGCCUGCACCCUCUCGCAACCCAGGACCCCUCAGGGGAUGUUGGACUGCUUGUUUCUGCUCAGUCCCUGCAGGCCAGGCUGAGGGACCCCACCGGUGCAUG
rfam:Myotis lucifugus cont2.20619, whole genome shotgun sequence.